AAGUCGUAACAAGGUUUCCGUAGGUGAACCUGCGGAAGGAUCAUUAACACGUAUCCAACGUUAAAACCCCCCGUGAGAUGAUUUACCAGGGAUUGCCACUUUCUAACGGAUAGGCGUGCCACAAUAAAGGUUGCCGAACAGUUUUGAUUCAGGGACUUCUGCGUGGGUAGGACAACUGCGCGAGCAAGUGGCCUGGCAUCCCUCUGCUUGUUAGUGUCUGAAAGUGUCACUAGCUCUGUACGGGUGGCGCAAUCACGAUCGCUAGAGGCCAACACGGCCGGCGACCGGGUCAAUGGGCCCUCGGCCCCCUAAUCACCUUUGCAUGAAAACGGGCCUGCGCUUAAUUGUGCGGCCACCAAACUCGAACAACUGUUAACAAUGGAUAUCUUGGUUCUC
rnacentral:misc_RNA from 1 species